CGCUGAUGUGGGCUUAAUGUAGCAACUGCUGCGGCUUCCCACGCUGGAUCCACCGGCAUGUGAGAGACAGUGAAGGAGGGGAAAAUCGGAAGCUGAGAUCGCGCUGUUGCAGAAAGGUUCAAGGAUACUGCUGAUUCAGCAUUCAGGUCUUUCCAUUCCUCAAUGACAUGCUGUAGAUCCAUCUCUCGUAGAAGCAGCCUCACUUCCCCGAUGACAUCAUGCUUCGCAAAACGAUUAAAGUCAUAGACUCGCAUCACAACCUGUGUAUCUUCUAAUUCUGACUGUAAGAGCUGAAGUACAGAAUACAGCAGCAACAACAGCAGAUGAUUAUCAAAAGAAUUAAGAAGAGUCCCACAGCAAACAACGUGUAGAUGGCCCAUCGUGGUACUGGAAAGAAUGUAUUGCAAUGCAUUUAUUAAAAGAU